GACGAACGCUGGCGGCGUGCUUAACACAUGCAAGUCGAACGAUGAACUCCAGCUUGCUGGGGGGAUUAGUGGCGAACGGGUGAGUAACACGUGAGUAACCUGCCCUUGACUCUGGGAUAAGCGCUGGAAACGGCGUCUAAUACCGGAUACGAGCUUCAGCCGCAUGGCUAGGAGUUGGAAAGAAUUUCGGUCAAGGAUGGACUCGCGGCCUAUCAGCUAGUUGGUGAGGUAAUGGCUCACCAAGGCGACGACGGGUAGCCGGCCUGAGAGGGUGACCGGCCACACUGGGACUGAGACACGGCCCAGACUCCUACGGGAGGCAGCAGUGGGGAAUAUUGCACAAUGGGCGCAAGCCUGAUGCAGCAACGCCGCGUGAGGGACGACGGCCUUCGGGUUGUAAACCUCUUUUAGUAGGGAAGAAGCGAAAGUGACGGUACCUGCAGAAAAAGCACCGGCUAACUACGUGCCAGCAGCCGCGGUAAUACGUAGGGUGCAAGCGUUGUCCGGAAUUAUUGGGCGUAAAGAGCUCGUAGGCGGUUUGUCGCGUCUGCUGUGAAAUCUGGGGGCUCAACCCCCAGCCUGCAGUGGGUACGGGCAGACUAGAGUGCGGUAGGGGAGAUUGGAAUUCCUGGUGUAGCGGUGGAAUGCGCAGAUAUCAGGAGGAACACCGAUGGCGAAGGCAGAUCUCUGGGCCGUAACUGACGCUGAGGAGCGAAAGCAUGGGGAGCGAGCAGGAUUAGAUACCCUGGUAGUCCAUGCCGUAAACGUUGGGAACUAGAUGUGGGGACCAUUCCACGGUCUCCGUGUCGCAGCUAACGCAUUAAGUUCCCCGCCUGGGGAGUACGGCCGCAAGGCUAAAACUCAAAGGAAUUGACGGGGGCCCGCACAAGCGGCGGAGCAUGCGGAUUAAUUCGAUGCAACGCGAAGAACCUUACCAAGGCUUGACAUAUACCGGAAACGGCCAGAGAUGGUCGCCCCGCAAGGUCGGUAUACAGGUGGUGCAUGGUUGUCGUCAGCUCGUGUCGUGAGAUGUUGGGUUAAGUCCCGCAACGAGCGCAACCCUCGUUCUAUGUUGCCAGCACGUUAUGGUGGGAACUCAUAGGAGACUGCCGGGGUCAACUCGGAGGAAGGUGGGGAUGACGUCAAAUCAUCAUGCCCCUUAUGUCUUGGGCUUCACGCAUGCUACAAUGGCCGGUACAAAGGGCUGCGAUACCGUAAGGUGGAGCGAAUCCCAAAAAGCCGGUCUCAGUUCGGAUUGAGGUCUGCAACUCGACCUCAUGAAGUCGGAGUCGCUAGUAAUCGCAGAUCAGCAACGCUGCGGUGAAUACGUUCCCGGGCCU
rnacentral:rRNA from 1 species